AAAAGCUCGUAGUCGAAUUAGAAGAUAUCGUCCCCUAGGGUCUCUAAUACAUAUUAGUUCUCUAGGUGGAAUGAUUCUUUGGGGUCAUACUUAACAGUGCGAACGCUGCCCUUUAUUGUGUGGCCGCAUAUAGAGUAUCCCUGACUGUUACUUUGAGGAAAUUAGUGUGUUCUAAGCGGGCUUAUGCCGCGAAUAUAUUAGCAUGGAAUGACGAAAUAGGUUUGUAUCUUUUUUGUUGGUUUCUAGAUGCAUACAGAUGGUUAAUAGGAACAAUUGGGGGCAUUCGUACUUAACCGUCAGAGGUGAAAUUCUUGGAUUGGCUAAUGACGAACUACUGCGAAAGCAUUUGCCAAAGAUGUUUUCAUUGAUCAAGAACGAAAGUUAGGGGAUCGAAGACGAUCAGAUACCGUCCUAGUCUUAACCAUAAACUAUGCCAACUAGGGAUUGGGGAUAGAUAUUUCGUUGUCUCCUCCAGCACCUUAUGAGAAAUCAAAGUCUUUGGGUUCCGGGGGGAGUAUGGUCGCAAGGCUGAAACUUAAAGGAAUUGACGGAAGGGCACCACCAGGAGUGGAGCCUGCGGCUUAAUUUGACUCAACRCGGGAAAACUCACCAGGUCCAGACAUUGAUAGGAUUGACAGAUU
rnacentral:rRNA from 1 species